UACAGGUGUGUUCCUACAGAUGUGUACUUACAGGUGUGUUCCUACAGGUGUGUUCCUACAGGUGUGUUUGUGGACUCAGGUGUGUUCCUACAGAUGUGUUCCUACAGAUGUGUUCCUACAGGUGUGUUCCUACAGGUGUGUUCCUACAGAUGUGUUCCUACAAGUGUGUUCCUACAGGUGUGUUUGUGGACUCAGGUGUGUUCCUACAGGUGUGUUUGUGGACUCAGGUGUGUUCCUACAGAUGUGUUCCUACAGGUGUGUUCCUACAGGUGUGUUCCUACAGAUGUGUUCCUACAGGUGUGUUCCUACAGGUGUGUUCCUACAGAUGUGUUCCUACAGGUGUGUUCCUACAGGUGUGUUCCUACAGAUGUGUUCCUACAGGUGUGUUCCUACAGGUGUGUUCCAACAGAUGUGUUCCUACAGAUGUGUACUUACAGGUGUGUUCCUACAGGUGUGUUCCUACAGAUGUGUUCCUACAGAUGUGUUC